rnacentral:rRNA from 1 species
UUCCAUCUGGAAGAAUCUGGAGGACAGGUGCUGCAUGGCUGUCGUCAGCUCGUGUCGUGAGAUGUUGGGUUAAGUCCCGCAACGAGCGCAACCCUUCGCCUUUAGUUGCCGGCAGUUCGGCUGGGCACUCUAAAGGGACUGCCGGUGUUAAACCGGAGGAAGGUGGGGAUGACGUCAAGUCCUCAUGGCCUUUAUGACCAGGGCUACACACGUACUACAAUGGCCGAUACAAAGGGCAGCGACACUGCGAGGUGAAGCCAAUCCCGUAAAAUCGGUCUCAGUCCGGAUUGGAGUCUGCAACUCGACUCCAUGAAGUUGGAAUCGCUAGUAAUCGUGGAUCAGCAUGCCACGGUGAAUACGUUCCCGGGCCUU